UGUAUGUGGGAGGCGAACGUUGAUAACCACUACACUAGGGAAACACGCACCACCCUGAACUCACCCGAUCCCGUCUGAUCUCGGAAGCUAAGCAGGGUCGGGCCUGAAUGAAGAAAAUCCACAACAAACAAUCUAAUUCCUCCAGGUGUGAACCUUGAGUCGCCACAGAGAGAAACUGGAAAGAAUUUGUGCAGGAGAGAGAAAUGUCGAGAGAUGCACCACGAGAGAGUGGAAUCCAGCAGCAGCACGUGGAGUGGAUGCAGAAAGGUCUGAAGAGAGUCCUGAGUGCGGCCUUGCUGAAUUCCCUGGUCUGGCAUUCCACUUGAACCACCCUACCCAAAUUUGUU